ACCGUAUUACUUCGUCUGUCUCUUCGUUUUUAAUUCCGGUGUGAAGAAAAUUAGAAGAACAAUUCCGGUGGUAAGUAAUUUUUAAUUUUUUGAUUUUAAUUUUUGUAUGCAUGUCUGUGAAUCUGUGAUUGAGAUUAACGGAUUUUUGUUUUCUCUAGCGAGUAGCGGCUUAAAGGAUUUUCUUCAUCUCCCACCAAACCUUCAUAGCGAGUAGCGGCUUAAAGGAUUCACUGCAAUCACCGCCAAAGAUUGAGACCAAUUGAGAGCAAUUGCCUGACAAGUAAAAUCAAGGUACAUUAUCAAAGGCAGGAGCCGCAGGACUGCAUCAAUUGCACAAGGAAGUGCCAACUUUGUCAGUGAUGGAAAUAUGGCGUCAUUUCACUCGGAGAAAUGUUGAAGAACCCUCUUGCAAUUACUGUGGAAGGACUUAUAGGGCUAACAUGUCCAGAAAUGGAACUUCUGCCUUGUGGAAUGCUUAGAAGUUGCAAUAAUGCUUAGAAGUUGUAACUUAU